AAUUUUAUAGUUAAAUAAUAACGUCAGAAUGCAAUUCUGAAAUUAUAACUUUUAAGUUUUUAAAAUUU
rnacentral:tRNA from 1 species